UGGCGAGAGGCAUGCUGGGAUAUGAAGUCCGAGUGCGAGCCAUAUAAAGCAGCGCGAGCCUCUGGCCUUCCUUUUUACUACGCGAGCCUGAGCGAGUCAGGCACAAUUAUCCGCCAUGCCCGUUGCCAGAAGUUGGGUUUGUCGUAAGACAUACGUCACCCCCCGACGUCCCUUUGAGAAGUCCCGUCUUGACCAGGAGUUAAAGCUCAUUGGUGAGUAUGGACUGAGGAACAAGCGUGAGGUGUGGAGGGUAAAGUUUACCCUUGCCAAGAUCCGCAAAGCUGCCAGAGAGCUGCUCACUCUGGAUGAGAAGGACCCCAAACGUCUGUUUGAAGGUAACGCUUUGCUCAGGCGUCUGGUGAGGAUUGGUGUGCUGGACGAGGGUAAAAUGAAGCUCGAUUACAUCCUGGGUCUGAAGGUUGAAGAUUUCUUGGAGAGGAGGCUGCAGACGCAGGUCUUCAAGCUCGGACUUGCCAAGAGCAUUCACCAUGCCCGUGUGCUCAUCCGCCAGAGGCACAUUCGAGGACCAUCAACCUCUAGCUCUCUUCGUUGAGAUCAGUUAAACAUUUCAUCAAGGUCAAUUCGGUAUCAAAACCGUAUACCUUGCCAGUAGACAUUGCCCAGAGCCAAUCCUGCCGACGAAGGCUGAGACAGGGAUGUUGUCAGUGUGCGCAAGCAGGUGGUGAACAUCCCCUCCUUUGUGGUUCGCCUGGACAGCCAGAAGCACAUCGACUUCUCUCUGAGGUCUCCUUACGGUGGUGGACGUCCUGGUCGCGUCAAGAGAAAGAACGCCAAGAAGGGUCAGGGUGGAGCUGGUGGUGCUGACGAUGAGGAGGAGGAUUAAGAAGGGUGUUGUCUUGGGAGUCUUUGCAUUACUUCCUGUUAUGUCAAAAUAAAAUAAAAUUGGUGUCAACCAAAGAA